rnacentral:rRNA from 1 species
GACGAACGCUGGCGGCGUGCUUAACACAUGCAAGUCGAACGGAGCGAAUGAAAGCUUGCUUUUAUAAGCUUAGUGGCAAACGGGUGAGUAACACGUAGGCAACCUGCCGACAGGAUGGGGACAACAUUCCGAAAGGAAUGCUAAUACCGAAUGAAGUCAGAGGAGGGCAUCCUCUUCUGAUGAAAGAUGGCCUCUAUAUAUAAGCUAUCACCUGUCGAUGGGCCUGCGUCUGAUUAGCUGGUAGGUGAGGUAACGGCUCACCUAGGCGACGAUCAGUAGCCGGUCUGAGAGGAUGAACGGCCACAUUGGGACUGAGACACGGCCCAGACUCCUACGGGAGGCAGCAGUGGGGAAUCUUCCGCAAUGGGCGCAAGCCUGACGGAGCAACGCCGCGUGAGUGAAGAAGGUCUUCGGAUCGUAAAGCUCUGUUGAUGGGGACGAACGUACGGAGUGCGAAUAGUGCUCUGUAAUGACGUACCAUCGAGAGCC